UGCGAUUAUGAUGUCGCUCACAACACAGCUUGUUAUCAGGAAGUGGAGGAAAGGCUUCAAGUAGUUUAUCUAUAUAUCCAACCAGAAAACUCCAUUACUUUGUCAUUUCUCUACCUGCCUAACUUAGUCAGGCUAAUUCUUGAUACAUCAAUGUUUCACGGACAGCAGCGAAUAUAAAAAGGAACGGCUAUUUACUAGGGUUUGUUUUGUACUAUUAAUUACAUUUAAUUGCAAACAACAACUGUAAAAUAUUUGACCUCUUGUUCUUCGAUAUCGGGUUUUUUGCCCUGAAACUCCAGCCAUCCCGAUUUGGUAUUCGCUGACACAGGCUGAACCUGAGGUGUUCACAUCAAGAUUGGGGAUUUGAGGGUCCCUGGCAUCAAUGAUUGAAAACCCAGCUGACUUAAAGAACAACACUCUCAUUUGCAGACCGACAAGGAGGAGGAGAAUGAUUGCCCAGAUGCCAGAGCAUACAGGCAGAAAGAAAAGGUUUGAUUUUCUUUUUCCUCCUCUUUUAGUCAUUCUUUUUUCUUUUUUAAGCUUCGGUUGUAAGGUUAUAUGACCAUUGUUAUUGUAGAGUUCUACUUAUUAUAUCGUAACCUACUGUAACCUCUUCAUGUGAUGAAGCAGAAAUGCUGUGGAAUUCUUUUAUUUCUUGGUAUUUAUUUAAAGACAUUAAAGGGCUCAGCUUCAGUGAGAUUGAAGGAAGGGAGUAUUUGUUUCUGCUGGUAAGUAUUACUAAGAAGUAAUACUGUAUGUAAAAAAGGAAAGGAAGGAAAGGACGUGUGGCUAAGUAUGGUGACCCAUACUUGGAAUCUGUGCUCUGCAUUUAACCCAUCCAAGUGCAGACACACAGUAGUGAGUAGUGAACAAACACACGCACAGUGUGAACACACACCUGGAGCAGUGGGCAGCCAUAUUGCUAUUGCUGCGGUGCCCGGGGAGCAGAUGGGGGAUCGGUGCCUGGCUCAAGGGAGUCACCUCAGUCGUGGUAUUGAGGGUGGAGAGAGCACUGGUUAUUCACUCCCCCCACCUUCAAUCCCUGCCGGACCUGGGAGUUGAACCAAGUGGCAACCUCCCGAUCUCCCUCUUGAAGCCAACACGGAAGUGACUAAAACUGCAAUUCAUCGACUGGCUGCUAGAGACUGGCUGCAAAAGGGAGUCAAUCCUAGACUCCCCAUGUUAAAAUGCCCAACUUUACAGCCUGGUUCAAAAAGUGUUUUUGGUCUGUAUAGCUAAUGUUGGCCUUCAUGUCAACUGUGAGGGGGGUGAAUUUUUUUAUAACUCAUCCGUUUAAUUUAUAUUAAGCCCUAAAGUUCUGCAUAAUUUAGGGCGUGGCCACUUAAGUGACAGGUGGAUUGCUGCUGCUGUCACCACCGUCGCGCUAGGUGGGCAUGGUUUCAGCAUCAGCUCAACCCACGUCCCGCCUAUUUGCCCAUUUUCAAUUAUCCGGGAGUGACGUGCAAUGACGUGAUUCCAAGAUGGCGACGGCUGACUCCCACCCACUAAGAGCUUCAAAAAUGAUCUUCAGAAACCUACGGGUGACGUCACGGACACUGCGUCCAUGUUUUUUACAGUCUAUGAGUUGAACCCACAACCUUUCGGUUACAAGCCCGACUCCCUAACCAUUAGGCCUUAUGUAAGUACCAACCAACCUCAUUUAAGAAAGCACUAAGUGCAAAUAACAGUGGGUUCUAUUUACACUAAGUGCAAAUAGCUAUAGAUUCACACUAUGUUAAAAUAGCAGGAUUUUCUGCUUUUUAUAAUACUUAUUGCAAAUAGAUGCAAUUAUCUGCACGUCAGUAUUGUAGUACAUUAAAACAGUAUGCAGUAAUUACGUAUUGAGUUUAAAUUAUAGUUUUAAUUCAGUUUAUUAAAUGGAUGCCUUAUUCGCUUGUUAAGUGAUGACGUCUAACGAACGCACCAAGGAAUGCUGUUUUCAGAUCCAAGCCUCAAUUUAUUUCACUUGCGAAUACUAUCUUAAGAGAUGUUUAUGAGCACUGUUUAUUCAUAUCUGUGAGGAUUUUCAGUCAGGUUUUAGACCGUACCAUAGUACUGAGACUGCUCUUAUUAGAGUUACAAAUGAUCUACUCUUGUCAUCCGAUCGUGGUUGUAUCUCUCUGUUAGUGCUACUGGAUCUUAGUGCUGCGUUUGAUACUGUUGACCACAACAUUCUCUUGAAUAGACUUGAGAAUUAUGUUGGCAUUAGUGGUAGUGCAUUGGCAUGGUUCAAAUCGUAUCUAUCUGACCGCCAUCAAUUCGUGGCAGUAAAUGAUGAGGUAUCAUAUCGAUCUCAAGUGCAGUAUGGAGUACCACAAGGCUCAGUACUAGGGCCGUUACUCUUUACGCUUUACAUGUUACCCUUGGGUGAUAUCAUCAGGAAAUAUGGUGUUAGCUUUCACUGCUAUGCUGAUGAUACCCAGCUCUAUAUUUCUUCGCGGCCUGGCGAAACGUACCAAUUUGAAAAACUAAUGGAUUGUGUAGUUGAGUUAAAAAAAAAUUGGAUGACAAGUAAUUUCUUACUGCUAAAUUCUGAAAAAACAGAGGUGUUAGUUAUUGGGCCUAAAACCUCAGCGUGUAAUAACCUAAAACACUGUCUAAUACUUGAUGGCUGUUCUGUCAAUUCUUCGUCAUCAGUUAGGAACCUAGGUGUGCUAUUUGAUGGUAAUCUUUCCUUUGAAAACCACAUCUCUAGUAUUUGCAAAACUGCAUUUUUCCAUCUCAAAAAUAUAUCUAAACUAUGACCUAUGCUAUCAAUGUCAAAUGCUGAAACAUUAAUUCAUGCGUUUAUGACCUCACGGUUAGAUUAUUGUAAUGCUUUAUUGGGUGGUUGUUCUGCUCGCUUAAUAAACAAACUCCAGCUGGUCCAAAAUGCAGCAGCUAGAGUUCUUACUAGAACCAAAAAGUAUGAUCAUAUUAGCCCGGUUCUGUCUACACUGCACUGGCUCCCUAUUAAACAUCGUAUAGAUUUUAAAAUCUUGCUAAUUACUUAUAAAGCCCUGAAUGGUUUAGCUCCCCAGUACCUGAGCGAGCUCUUAUCGCAUUAUAGUCCCUCACGUCCGCUGCGUUCUCAAAACUCUGGCAAUUUGAUAAUACCGAGAAUAUCAAAAUCAACCGCGGGCGGCAGAUCUUUUUCUUAUUUAGCACCCAAACUCUGGAACAAUCUACCCUACAAUGUUCGGGACGCAGACACACUCUGUCAGUUUAAAUCUGGAUUAAAGACCCAUCUCUUUAACCUUGCUUACACAUAACAAAUCCACAUUCUUAUAAUUCAAAUCCGUUACAGGAUUGUUAGGCUGCACUAAUUAGGUCAACCGGAACCGGGAACACUUCCCAUAACACCCGAUGUACUCGGUGCAUCGUCAGAAGAAUGGCAUCUACGCUAAUAUUGUUUCGUCUGUUUCUCUCUUAUUCCGAGGUCACAUUAACCACCAGAUCCAGUCCGUAUCCAGAUCAGAUGUUCACUGCAGUCCCCCGGAUCCAGUCCGAACCCAGCCCAGACGGUGGAUCAGCACCUAGAGACGACCUCUACAGCCCUGAAUGUCAGCGGAGUCCACAUCAACUAGAUGAGCCCCAGAGACGGAUCCACAUUAAAGACCACAUCACCUAGACAGCUGUCGGCACAAGACCAUGGGAACUUUGGCCAGAGGAGAACUGGCCCCCCGACUGAGCCUGGUUUCUCCCAAGGUUUUUUUUCUCCAUUUGUCACCGAUGGAGUUUUGGUUCCUUGCCGCUGUCGCCUAUGGCUUGCUUAGUUGGGGACACUUUCUCUUAACACAAUAUUGCAUUUUAUUUUAUUGUUUUUGAUUAACUACCUUUACCUAUAAUGUGAGUGUUUAAUGUUGCCUUUGGCAUUGUUGAUGUACUGUUUCCUAUUUAAUACUGUACAGCCGCCUUGUCACAAUUCUGUAUUGUUAAAGGCGGUAUAUAAAUAAAGGUGACUUGACUUGA